rnacentral:lncRNA from 10 species
AUCAUGCUGUAAUCUUUCAUUGUAGGUCAUGUGAAACUAACAGACUUUGGACUAUGCAAAGAAUCUAUUCAUGAUGGAACAGUCACACACACAUUUUGUGGAACAAUAGAAUACAUGGCCCCUGAAAUCUUGAUGAGAAGUGGCCACAAUCGUGCUGUGGAUUGGUGGAGUUUGGGAGCAUUAAUGUAUGACAUGCUGACUGGAGCAGUAGGUGCACAGUUAAAAGCUGCAUGUAUUAUUGGUCUGUGCUGAGUCACUAUAGCAAGAGACCUGUCCUGUGCUUUCUGAACAUGUUACCAGUGGAGUUUUCAAAGCCCAAAGAUUUGUUAUUAGCAGUUUAACACUAAUAAUGCUGUAUGAUUAUAUGGGAUCCCAUACUUUCCGAAACAUUUUCUUUUAAAUGAUCUAUGUCAUGGCAGGCCUGUGAAAUAGAUGUUGAAUAGAUAAUGCCCUUAUUUUAUAAAUGGAGAAAUUGAAGCAUAAAAUCACAUAGCUCACUUAUCACACAGAAAGUUAAUGGUGGAAACACAGGCUUCCUUCCAGGACACUGCUACUUCCUCUGUCCUGUUGCUUAAAAACUGCACGUCUGCCGGCCACAGUGGUGCAUGCCUGUAGCCUAAGCUACUCAGGAGGCUGAGGUGGGAGGAUCAUUUGAGCUAAGGAUUAUUAAUAGAAUCUAGCCUUGACAACAUAGUUGAGACCCUGUCUGUAAAACAAAAU